GAGUUUGAUCGUGGCUCAGGAUUAACGCUAGCGGCAGGCAUAAUACAUGCAAGUUGAACGAGAUAAGCUGUAGCAAUAUGGCUUUGAAAGUGGCGCACGGGUGCGUAACACGUAUGCAACCUACCUUUUACAGGGGGAUAGCCUCUCGAAAGAGAGAUUAAUACCCCAUAAUAUAUUUGUUGGGCAUCUAAUGAAUAUUAAAGCUGAGGCGGUAAAAGAUGGGCAUGCGGCUGAUUAGGUAGUUGGUGAGGUAAUGGCUCACCAAGCCGACGAUCAGUAGGGGGUCUGAGAGGAUGUCCCCCCACACUGGUACUGAGACACGGACCAGACUCCUACGGGAGGCAGCAGUAGGGAAUAUUGGACAAUGGGCGCAAGCCUGAUCCAGCCAUGCCGCGUGCAGGAUGAAGGCCCUAUGGGUCGUAAACUGCUUUUGACGGGAAGAAACCUCACUACGUGUAGUGAGUUGACGGUACCGUGAGAAUAAGGAUCGGA
rnacentral:rRNA from 1 species